AGCGCAGGUGGGAAAGUAAGUCAGUCUUAAAAGUUCGGGGCUCAACCCCGUGAUGGGAUUGAAACUACUUUUCUUUGAGUGCAGGAGAGGAAAGCGGAAUUCCUAGUGUAGCGGUGAAAUGCGUAGAUAUUAGGAGGAACACCAGUGGCGAAAGCGGCUUUCUGGACGACAACUGACGCUGAGGCGCGAAAGCCAGGGGAGGCAAACGG
rnacentral:rRNA from 1 species